GGCAAGUCAUUUCAGAGCUUCCAGUUCAGAGCCCGCGGGCUGGACACGGAGGAGCGGAGCCGGAGCGAUUCCCCGAGGGGCAAAAGGAAGAUGAAGGUCUUGCUGAUGCUGGCAGUGCUGUUUGCCUGCAGUGUGUUCACAGCUCGUGGGAAGCACCCACGCGCAUUCGCACCGGGACUUGAGGGGAGCACCGUUGGAAAUCUGAGUGCCCACGGCUGCUACUCGGGAUGGGGCAGCGGUGGCACAUC
rnacentral:lncRNA from 1 species